GAUGAACGCUGGCGGCGUGCCUAAUACAUGCAAGUCGAGCGAACGGACGAGAAGCUUGCUUCUCUGAUGUUAGCGGCGGACGGGUGAGUAACACGUGGAUAACCUACCUAUAAGACUGUGAUAACUUCGGGAAACCGGAGCUAAUACCGGAUAAUAUUUUGAACCGCAUGGUUCAAAAGUGAAAGACGGUCUUGCUGUCACUUAUAGAUGGAUCCGCUCUGCAUUAGCUAGUUGGUAAGGUAACGGCUUACCAAGGCAACGAUGCAUAGCCGACCUGAGAGGGUGAUCGGCCACACUGGAACUGAGACACGGUCCAGACUCCUACGGGAGGCAGCAGUAGGGAAUCUUCCGCAAUGGGCGAAAGCCUGACGGAGCAACGCCGCGUGAGUGAUGAAGGUCUUCGGAUCGUAAAACUCUGUUAUUAGGGAAGAACAUAUGUGUAAGUAACUGUGCACAUCUUGACGGUACCUAAUCAGAAAGCCACGGCUAACUACGUG
rnacentral:rRNA from 1 species